UUGCUAUCUUAGUGGCGGACGGGUGAGUAACGCGUGGGUAACCUGCCUUGCACUGGGGGAUAACACUUAGAAAUAGGUGCUAAUACCGCAUAACAGGAGAAGACGCAUGUCUUUUCCUUAAAAACUCCGGUGGUGUAAGAUGGACCCGCGUCUGAUUAGCUUGUUGGCGGGGUAACGGCCCACCAAGGCAACGAUCAGUAGCCGGCCUGAGAGGGUGAACGGCCACAUUGGGACUGAGACACGGCCCAAACUCCUACGGAAGGCAGCAG
rnacentral:rRNA from 1 species